CGGUAGACUACUUUCGGGUAGUUGAGAGUGGCGCACGGGUGCGUAACGCGUAUGCAACCUACCUUGUACAGGGGGAUAGCCCGAAGAAAUUCGGAUUAAUACCCCAUAGCAUUACCAGAUGGCAUCUGAAGGUAAUUAAAGAUUUAUCGGUACAAGAUGGGCAUGCGUGACAUUAGUUAGUUGGUAGGGUAACGGCCUACCAAGACUAUGAUGUCUAGGGGUUCUGAGAGGAUGAUCCCCCACACUGGUACUGAGAUACGGACCAGACUCCUACGGGAGGCAGCAGUAGGGAAUAUUGGUCAAUGGGCGAGAGCCUGAACCAGCCAUGCCGCGUGCAGGAAGACGGCCUUCUGGGUUGUAAACUGCUUUUAUACGGGAAGAAAAGACCCUUGCGAGGGAGAUUGCCGGUACCGUAUGAAUAAGCACCGGCUAACUCCGUGCCAGCAGCCGCGGUAAUACGGAGGGUGCAAGCGUUGUCCGGAUUUAUUGGGUUUAAAGGGUGCGUAGGCGGGCCUUUAAGUCAGUGGUGAAAGCCUGCAGCUUAACUGUAGAACUGCCAUUGAUACUGGAGGCCUUGAGUGUACUAGAGGUAGGCGGAAUUUAUGGUGUAGCGGUGAAAUGCAUAGAUACCAUAAAGAACACCGAUAGCGUAGGCAGCUUACUGGAGUACAAC
rnacentral:rRNA from 1 species